rnacentral:rRNA from 1 species
UGNGCACCUGGAAAGAUGCAAGCAGUGGGAGACGAGAGAGCGGAGACAUGGUGAGGAACGACGUGGGAAAACCUGCCCAUGUGAGAGUAGGGGGAUGAACACUUGGAAACAGGUGCUGAAUACCGUAUAACAACCAAAACCACCUGGUUUUGGUUUAAAAGACGGCUUCGGCUGUCACUUUAGGAUGGACCCGCGGCGUAUUAGCUUGUUGGUAAGGUAACGGCCUACCAAGGCGAUGAUACGUAGCCGACCUGAGAGGGUAAUCGGCCACAUUGGGACUGAGACACGGCCCAAACUCCUACGGGAGGCAGCAGUAGGGAAUCUUCCACAAUGGACGAAAGUCUGAUGGAGCAACGCCGCGUGAGUGAUGAAGGGUUUCGGCUCGUAAAACUCUGUUGUUGGAGAAGAACAGGUGUCAGAGUAACUGUUGACAUCUUGACGGUAUCCAACCAGAAAGCCACGGCUAACUACGUGCCAGCAGCCGCGGUAAUACGUAGGUGGCAAGCGUUGUCCGGAUUUAUUGGGCGUAAAGCGAGCGCAGGCGGUUUUUUAGGUCUGAUGUGAAAGCCUUCGGCUUAACCGGAGAAGUGCAUCGGAAACCGGGAGACUUGAGUGCAGAAGAGGACAGUGGAACUCCAUGUGUAGCGGUGAAAUGCGUAGAUCAUAUGGAAGAACACCAAGUGGCGAAAGNGCGGCUGANCUGGAUCUGUAACUGNACGCCUGAAGGCUCGAAAAGCCAUGGGGGUAAGGCGAACCAGGGAUCACGGAUACCCCAUGGGUA